GGCCAUUGAUGAGCUCAAAUUAAGGUUAGUUCUUUGUUCGGUUUUUGAUAAUUUUUACAUUUUUGAGAUCGUUGCUUUGUGUACUACAAGACCCAUGUUUUAAUUUUUGGAAUUGGUGUUAAUUUUGUGUUAUGCCAUUGAUGAAUUCUUGAGCUUUGUGAUAGUUGAUGAUAAAAUAUGAAAGAUAAGUGAAAGAUUAACAUGUUUUGUCUUUGAAUUUUUGGUGAAAUUGAGUAAUUAGGACUAAUUUGUGAAAUUAAAUUUUUUUGAGGGACCAAAAUGUGAAAUAAAUGAAUUAUGUGGACUUGUAUGAACACUAGGGAUAUUCGGCCCUUGUAUAUUGUAGACAAAUGUUGUGUAUUUUGUGUUUUAUGCAAUAUAGACUAAAUUGCAAAAAGUGUAAAUGUCAGGAGUAAAAUGGUAAUUUUCUCAUUUACAUGCUUUUGGAUUAAAUUGAAUAUAAUAAUAUUUAAACUAGCUCAUUUUAAAUAUGCUUAGAUCAAGAACCAAAGAAAUCGGAGCUAAAUCGGGGAAAAGCCAAAGUCGUCGACUAAUUGUUCGAUUUCAAUUUUUUUCACUAUCCGAGGUAAGUCUAUUAGCAAUUUAAAAGUUAUUAAAUCAAUAUUUAUACAUGUAUAUCGAUUGUAUACUUGAUGAGCUGUAAUUAAAUGUUUAUAAUUUGAAGUAUAAGUAUAAAUUUUAUAUAAGUAUUUGAUAGUUUCGAAUAUACAAGUAUAAUCUUGUAUAAGUUCAUGAGUUAAAAUAUAGGUUUAAAUUUUAUAUAAGUAAAGGUAAGAUUCGGAUAGGCAUGUAUAUAUAUGAAAAUCUCUUGUAAUGAAAUUAGGUAAGAAAUUAUACAUGUAUAUGAUAGAUUCGAAAAUAUAUGUAAUAGUGUGAAUAAACCUUGAAUUUAGAUAAAGGUAUGAAUAUGUAUAUAUAUAUUUAUAAUUAUACACAUAAUGAUCGAAUAUAUAUGCAUAUAUGUAUAUAUAUAGUUUUUGAAUUUAGUGGAAGUAUAAACGUUGUUUAUGUAUAAAUUCUUGGUUUUAAUCUAAGGAAAGUAUGAUAUAUACAUAUAUAUGUAUAUUAGGUCCGAAUAUAUGUAUAUAAAUAUAUAUAUGUAUAAACUCUUAGAUUUGAUUAAGAUAUGUAACUUAUAUUUGUAUAUGUGAGUUGGUAAUUAUAUAUAUGUUAUAUUCGAAUGAUCAGGUAUACAUACAUGUAUAUGAUUUUAUAGUGAGUUUAGGUAUGACAAUUAUACAAGGUUACAUGAGGUUCGGUUAUGCUAAUAUACAGGUAUAUAUUCUUGUAAUAAAUUAUGUAUGUAUAUGUAUGUAUAUGUAUAUAUGUAUAUAUGUAUAUGAGAGGUUCAAUUAUGUAUAUAUAUUCAUGUAAAGUUCUUGAAUAACAUUUAAAUUAUGAAAUUAUUAGUUGGAUUAUUAAAAGAUGAUCGAAUAUAUGAUAUUAGUAGUAGGUUAAUGCAUUAAGUUAUAUAUAUAUAUAUAGGUUUGGAUGUAUAAUUAAAUUAUUGAGUUGGAAUUGAUGUUUGAACUUUAUACAUCUAUGUUAUUUAAAGAUAUAGUUUAUAAAUUAUUGAGCUGAAUUUUAUGUGGAUUCUAUAUACAAAUAUGAGAUACAACUUCUGUGAAUUGAGAUUUUUUUUGUUAAAGCUCAGUACCAAUCAGAUUUAUUGCCAGUGAAAUAAUUCAAACUUUAUGUCUAGCAGGCUUGAUGCCGGUGAAAUAUUUCAGACUUUAUGUCUAGCAAGCUUGAUGCCGGUGAAAUGUUUCGGACUUUACGUCUAGCAGGCUAAGUGCCG
rnacentral:lncRNA from 1 species